rnacentral:lncRNA from 1 species
UUUGUGUGUGUUCUGGUCGUACAAAACACAGGAGCCAAGAAGGGCUCUCAAGCUCAAACCCUAACAAGCAUAAAAUCAACAAAUUGAAGGGGCAAAUCCAACCUAAAUCGAAAUCCAAGCACGAAUUCAUGAUCACCUCGAUGAAGGGAUCAUAAGGUAUGCCAAAUUUCAUUAUUUACUAGAUGGAGGCUUGGGGAAAGAAGCGGGUCAAAUGGAUCGUAUACGCGGAAAAGAGCAUAAUCCGGAUACUAGGUAAGUUAAAGCUUACACCUUUUAUUAACAACUAUUGGUUUUAUAGAUUAUGAAUAAUCAAAAGUCAUAUUUGACUUAUGAUGUUUUGACCCGUCAUGUGCGGUUCGGAACAAAAGACAUUAAUGAUAAACCAUGUUGAAUGAUUAAAAAGAGCUAAUAAGAUCAUUUAGUCAUGCAAUGACUAAUAAAUAACGAGUUCUGAAUGAUUACCUUGUAAGGUAAAUCAAUACAAUUAAUAAGGGUUAAACGGUAAGGUGGUCACUAGUUGACGAUAACCGUUAGUUUUGAAGGACACUUUAUGGCGUAAGAUAUAAAGGGGUCAAAAUGAUCAAGAAAUAGAUUUAUAAGGAAAAUUGACCGUACGGUGUAAACCGGUACAAGUCAUGUAGACGAGAUGAUGAUAAAUCCAUCUCGCAAAAGUAAACGGUCAUUUAGACCAAACGGGUCAAAAGGUGAAAAUAUCACCCUUUGACAAUAUCGACUAAUGGUUUGUCAAGUUGUAUGAUUACAGGAAUAAAUAUCGAUUGAAUGUUGACAUCGCUAUUACUUAGCGGCUACUAAGGCAAGGUAUCGAAACAGGUCAAUAUAUUGAUCCGAGCCAGGUUUGUAUAAUGAUUCAACUCGUCAUGUAGAACUUGAGGUUCUAUAAGUGUUACACAAGGAUAAAAUAUAGAUAUUCGGUUAUCAUUAAGGUAAACCGAAUAAAUUGGGUCAUGAUUAUGGUAUUUUAGAAAUAUAAUGGUUUCUAAACAAGAUUAUAGUUUUAAAAGUGGGAUUUUGGUCGAAUAUGGCUUUAAAGGUCCUUCGUCGUAAUAGGAGGGGUAAAAGUGACCAAAAUGCCCUUAUAAGUGAAAUUAAGCAAACGAUCCCUAAAGGUUGCUUAGAAAUGAGUUUUGUAACCAAAUAGAUACUUGUAUUAAGUAUAAAAACUGAAAUAUGUGAAUCUUUGGGUCAAAUGACUCUAUAUGAGUCUUUGCCGUAAAAUGAUAAUCCGAGGGGUAAAACUCGGAAUAAAUAGAUCUCCACAUUAAAUCCUCCACACAUAUAGUUGUGGUGGAAGAUAAAUUGAUAAAUAAUAUGGAAGUACAAUGCUAGAAGUGAAUGGGUAUGAAUUAUGCGGUAAAAGUGCUUAAAUACCCUUAACGGGUCAAAAUAAGCUUCUAAGUCAAAACGGGUUAAAGAAGGUAUACAAACCCGUGAUUUUGAGCCUAAUAUAAUAGGAGAUAUUGAAAUUAUGAAGUUCAUGGGUUUAAAGAUCAAAUAGGUAUGUUUGUUUGAUAAAAUCACGAACGGGUCAAAAUUUGGUAAAAAGGGUAAUAAGCCAAAGAUUUAAAAGUAUUAAAUUUUUGUUAAUCCGGAUGUCGGAUUUUAACUCCAUAUGAUGGAGGAUUAAAUUACAGACGCGUAGGAAAAAGAAUCGUGUAAAACGGAUUAAAAACGAGAGAGUUAUGUCCGUUUCGGUAAGAACUAAUGAAAAAUAAACGUGCAGAGUUGACACGGGCGGGUGACUUUUUGACACGGCCGGGUGGCUGGGCUGUGAAAAAUAUAUGUUAAGCUGACACGGCCGGGUGACUUUUUGACACGGCCGGGUGAAGGGGCUGAAAACAAAACAAAAAUAAUUUCUUGUUUUGUUACGUUAAGCACGGAACUUGUUUAUACUCGAUUAUUAAAGUGUCAAAACUAAUUAUUUACAUGGUUUUGACCGUAGGUGAAGAUGGACCUAAUCCGGAUGAAGAUCAAGCGGCGAGCAAGAACCGAACACAUGUUAAAUGAAGCUUCCGCGUCAAAUCUUGAUUUGUGUUGAUAUAAGUGAAUUAUGUAAACACUUAUAAAUUGUUUUUGAAAUGUUGUAAUCAUUUGGGAAUGUUGGUAUAACAAGUUUUGUAAAGACACAUUUUAGCAUAAAAAUUUGUAUCUUUUAUUAAAAUAUUAAUAAAACCAGACGGGCGUUACACAUAAACGCCAAAAUAUUUACUAUGCACGUGAUCCAAAAAAACAAUAAAACACUAGGUAGUUAUUGAAUCUAAUUAAACGCCAAAAAAAUCUUACACGCCAAAAACAUGAAGCGGUGUUGUGGAC